rnacentral:rRNA from 1 species
GAUGAACGCUGGCGGCGUGCUUAACACAUGCUAGUCGAACGGAAAGGCCCAAGCUUGCUUGGGUACUCGAGUGGCGAACGGGUGAGUAACACGUGGGUGAUCUGCCCUGCACUUCGGGAUAAGCCUGGGAAACUGGGUCUAAUACCGGAUAGGACCACAUUUUGGAUGGUGUGGUGGAAAGUUUUUCGGUGUGGGAUGAGCUCGCGGCCUAUCAGCUUGUUGGUGGGGUAAUGGCCUACCAAGGCGUCGACGGGUAGCCGGCCUGAGAGGGUGUACGGCCACAUUGGGACUGAGAUACGGCCCAGACUCCUACGGGAGGCAGCAGUGGGGAAUAUUGCACAAUGGGCGCAAGCCUGAUGCAGCGACGCCGCGUGGGGGAUGACGGCCUUCGGGUUGUAAACUCCUUUCGCUAGGGACGAAGCGUUAUGUGACGGUACCUGGAGAAGAAGCACCGGCUAACUACGUG